rnacentral:rRNA from 3 species
UUGACCUCGGAUCAGGUAGGGAUACCCAGCU